AUUGAACGCUGGCGGCAUGCUUUACACAUGCAGGUCGAACGGCAGCGCGGGCUUCGGCCUGGCGGCGAGUGGCGAACGGGUGAGUAAUACAUCGGAACGUGCCCAGUAGUGGGGGAUAGCUCGGCGAAAGCCGGAUUAAUACCGCAUACGACCUGAGGGUGAAAGCGGGGGAUCUUCGGACCUCGCGCUAUUUGAGCGGCCGAUGGCAGAUUAGCUAGUUGGUGGGGUAAAGGCCUACCAAGGCGACGAUCUGUAGCUGGUCUGAGAGGACGACCAGCCACACUGGGACUGAGACACGGCCCAGACUCCUACGGGAGGCAGCAGUGGGGAAUUUUGGACAAUGGGCGAAAGCCUGAUCCAGCAAUGCCGCGUGUGUGAUGAAGGCCUUCGGGUUGUAAAGCACUUUUGGCGGGAACGAAAAGGACUGUGCCAAUACCACGGUUCGAUGACGGUACCCGCAGAAUAAGCACCGGCUAACUACGUG
rnacentral:rRNA from 1 species